GGAUGUGAGGGCGAUCUGGCUGUGGCAUCUGUCACCCCGUUGAUCACCAGGGUUGAUUCGGCUGAUCUGGCUGGCUAGAUGGGUGUCCCCUUCCUCUCUCAAAGCUCCAUGUGCGUCUCUCCCGAAGCUGUAUGCUCGGUGGAAGAGGACGGCCUUCCCUGAAUAUAGACGGACUGGUCUUCGGUUGAUGGUAUAUAAGUAGCUGUGCUCCCCUGCUAGAACCUCCAAACAAGCUCUCAAGAUAUCUGACAUUAUCAGUCAUUUUAUUUUAUUCAUUUUAUUAUGAAUUUUCCAUAAUAUUAAU
rnacentral:snRNA from 1 species